rnacentral:rRNA from 1 species
CAGUCGCCGCGGGAAUACAGAGGGUGCGAGCGUUAAUCGGAUUUACUGGGCGUAAAGCGUGCGUAGGCGGCUUUUUAAGUCGGAUGUGAAAUCCCUGAGCUUAACUUAGGAAUUGCAUUCGAUACUGGGAAGCUAGAGUAUGGGAGAGGAUGGUAGAAUUCCAGGUGUAGCGGUGAAAUGCGUAGAGAUCUGUAGGAAUACCGAUGGCGAAGGCAGCCAUCUGGCCUAAUACUGACGCUGAGGUACGAAAGCAUGGGGAGCAAACAGGAUUAGAUACCCCCGUAGUCCCUGUCUCUUAUAC